ACAUUUUUCUGUUUUUCAAGAAAUAAAAAUAGUAUUGUUGAAAAUGGUGAAAAAGUGUGAAAGCUAUGAAAAAUUGUUCCAAUGGCUCUUUAGCUGAAAGGAAAUUAAAAUCGGAGGACCCCGAAAUAUUGCAACUAUGGAGCUCAGCAAUAUCUCAACAACUUUGUCAAAAAAAUUGGAUCUGCAAGUUGCAUUUUAACAGUGACGAUAUUCUUAAAAAUUUGGAAAAAAUAAAGUUGCAAAAUGGCGAAGUCUGAACUUUCAAGGCCUACAGUUGCUUUAAAAAAGGGUGCAAUUCCAAUGUUGGCAAUGGCAAAUGUUGUCACGAAUGGUGAUACAACUUCAUCAAAUCAUUUUCGUACCAACAAUCACUAUACUGAUAAUGAGUAUUUGCACGAAACAAGAAAUGUAAGCGAUUUGUACGAGUUAGACCAACUAUUUGGGAUAUUGCAUCUACUGAAGGACCAAGGAGUGCCCUAAAAUUGGUGUUGGCCAAAACAAAAUUAUCAAAUAAAAUUGCUGAUGAUUUGACAGUUCAGGUAACUAUCUUGGCAACGGAAGUUUCUAUUAAUUUGAAUUAUACAAUAAUAUCGGUAGCAUUAUUUUGGAAUAUGCUACGAGAAAUAGAAACUUGUCAGUUCUGUAGCGGCGCUGGAUUUAACGGAAGAUGCUCAACCGCAUGUCAAGGCAUUUUACUAUCCGAUAAAAAAUAUAAACGAUCUAAAAGAGAAUAUAUGUGUUUGGCUUGUCGUACAUUACGGAAGAGAUUAUUAAUAUCUUCAAAGAAAAAGAAAGAUGUAUACUUCAUACGAAACAAUAACGUUUACGUCGUCUGUAUUAAAAGGUAAUCAAAGUUUGCGUAAUGUAACUAAAUUUUACAAUUCCUUAUAAUAUAGGGCCAGCAGUUAACACAUUGCGUACGGGUCACGAGAUAUCUCGUUUUUAGCAAAUUGAACGUUGCGUACGGGUUACGAGAUAUUUCGUUUUCAUGUUUUUUUUAACCGUUUGAGUGCCACGGGCUUUUCUCAUUUCCUGAUCGAAACUUGCCAAGCGGCGCGAUAGCGCUUG
rnacentral:lncRNA from 1 species